CAAGCAGUGUUUUUCAGCUUUUUUUUUCUCUCAAAGUUAAUUCUGAAAAAUCAAUGCCCAUUUCCUUUCUUUUUUUCUACUAAAGAUGUCCAAAACCGUGUCUGUUUUUUUUUUUCUUAGUAUAUGUUCAAAAGACCGAGUCCAGAUAAACGAUUCGUUUUCAUUGUAUUUCUCAACUAGGUCUUCACUCUUCUCAUGGUACUAAAGAACCGUUCUGCCCGCGUUGCCGUCGAGACCGGCAUACAUGCAAAUACAUUAAGUAUCUGAAAGAUUCCCGGGUAUCCUUGGUUUAUAACAUUUAAUGUUUCCUGCAGCUUGUUAGGAAUGUUAUCAAAAUAUCCAGUCCAUUUUGUUAACCAUCUCCGAAUUUCGAUCUUGAAAUUCGUCUUUUGUAACAUGGGCAUCAUCUGCAUUUCAUUAAUUAAAGAUUAUGUCCCCAACAGCUAAAGUAAGUUGGUCAAUGUUUUUUGGGAUUAACUUUUGUGCGACAUAACGUGACUCUGCUGUCAGAAGUCUUGUAUUCAACUCUGCUAUUAAAUGAUCGACGAAAGGUAGAUACAUGUUCAGUUUCAUAAGAAUGAAUUGAUGUCCAUGGUCUCUUAAGAAUGUCAUAUUUUAUUUCAUCAGUUAUUUGGAAUCUUCAGAAAAGAUGUCAGGGUAAGGAGGCAUAGAAGACGUGACAAUUGCGUUUUGACACCCGAAGGACUAAGCCAUUUUAAAUUGUUUGUAUCAGCAACAGAAUCAUGAUUCUGAUUUCGUAAAUGAAAAGGGAAACUAGUUUUCGGAACGGAAUAUAGCUACAAAGUGAUCAUUUAAUAACAUAUUUGGGAUUUUUUGGGUUUUUUUUUAUUAACUUCAUUACUUUUAGUUAAAUUCUUACUAGAUUUACCAUAUUUUUAUUUUUGUGAGAUUUUCGAU
rnacentral:lncRNA from 1 species